GCUUUUUUUUGAAUUGUGAAUUUGCAGCUCUAGAUCCAGCCACCAAAGAGAACCAGUACAAUAACUCUUGCAUCAGGUUAAUUUAAAAUGAUGUCAACAUUACACUUUUUUUUUGUCGACCAAAGAUUUCAUUCAGCCCAAAGGGCAAACAUACAAGGUACAGAGUCCAAGAUCAAAACAAGCCCAUUAAAACAAACAUACAGCACAGUCAACACGUGUAUACACAUGUGUUAACUCAAUAAGCUAAUAAAAGACAUGUGUCUUGAUUUGAGCUUGUCUUCGUUACGCUGCUGUUUCCACCACCACUCUUCGCCGCCGAUCAGAGCAAACAUGUGCUUCACCACCAACGACGAUGACCUCCACAGAAAAAGAUUUGUACCUCGAUGUUAACUUUUACCGAUCUUUACUUCUAAAUAGAAUGUGUCGGAAGAACAAGCCGAAAUAAAGAUGAUGAUGAUGCGUGCUUUUAAAACUUCUUCAGAUUCAGUCUUCAAGGAAGCUUCACCGUUGCUCGGACCCAAUUUAUUGGUCUGAGCUGUUGUCCGUCGUUGCUCCAAGUGUCGAGCAAGAGGAUGACCAGCAAAGAUAUUAAUCCAAAGCAAGAUAGAAACCUGAAACAAGAUUUAAAAGAAAAACCAGCGAUUCUGACAAAGAUAAUCACUAAAGAUCAGAAAAGAAAAGAUCCGGAUUGAACCGGAGAGAAUCCGAACUAAAUCGAAAAUUUAUUAUCCAAAAAAACGGAAAAGGAAAUCCGAACAAAGUUGGAAAAUUAAUAAAACAAAAAAACCUGAGAAAAUCCGGCUAAGAUACCGACUUCGAUGAGAAGUCGCUGAUAGAUAUGACUUUUUGUGGUCUCAGGGCUAUCAAUCCCCUUGUCAAUGUAGCACAAAGAGGUUUAUCAAUCCAGAUGUGGUGUUAGACACUAAGCUAUAUGAUCAAGUUCUUAAUUCAAGCAAACAAGAGUGGGUUUUGAUUAAUUUAGAGACAACUACAAACUUAAACAGGAUUAAGGAUUAAUGAAAUGCUUAAACAAGAACUAAACAAUGACAAAUGAUGAGAAUGUAUGAAUGAUGAUAAGAAAGGUCUUAGACAUGAUAGUGGAUUAGGGUGCCUUCAGUGAUAAACUAAUGAGCUAAUGAAUCAUAUGAUCAAGCAAGCCAUUUAACAUAAACAUCUCUAACUAAGUUAAUCCUCUCAUGAAGGCAUUAACUCCUAUGCUAAAUCAGUUUCAAACCCAAUCAUCAUCAGUGAAACAUGAGUUAACAAGCAUUAAGAAUCAGUUUAAUCUGUCAUUUAAGCAUAUAAACAAUCAUUCCCAUGAUGAAUAACACUUAAACCUCUAACAACUUUGGUUCAGGCAUUUCAUCAAACACUUUUGGUGCAUGAAAUGCCCAGAAUCUAGACCACAUAUGAUUUGUAUGGAUCUAGCAUAGAGAACAAGUUGUAGAGAAUGGAAUAUGCAUGAUCUAACCCCUAAGCUCGCUAAUCUACCACUUAAGCACCCUAAUCUACAUAUCUAAGACCUUAAUAUGGGAUUACUCACUAAUCAUACUAAUCUCUCUUAAACCUUUGCAAGUUGAGAAGAUUAGCAUGAUUAAUGAUGAGAAAUGGAGAUAGAGAUGAUAGAUUCAAAAGUAAACAGCUUUAAACACCCAGAUCUCUUAAAACUCUCUUGAUUAAACACUCAAAAAUAGAUAUUUCUCUUCUUAAUGGAGUCUUUUCACAAAAGAGGCAAGAGACAAAGGGAAUAAAACUUAGUUCUCCCCCAAAAAACCCUAAAAAGUAUUUAUACCUUCUUAAAAACGAACCGGGUCAGCCCGGAACAAACCGGGUCCUGACCCGGCUUUAAUGGAUAAAGUGGGAAAAGCUGCGGGUCGGUUCAGUAUGUCCCAGGCCGCACACCUAAGUCGCAGUAGGUGAAGACUUGUCUUGUGAGGCUUGAAUCGCCUUGUCGGAGCCGCACGCCUAUCUAGGAGUAAAUUUCGAGUGUUUCUGCGGCAUGGUCUCCUUCCUCUCCAACUCGCAGGGCUGAGCCGGUUUCUGGGGGAUGUAGAAACUGUGCGGGUUGGUCUCUAUUGCACUUAGGUCGCAGGCUCAAGUCGGAGUGAAUUCCGAGUGAUCGUGCGGCAUAGAUCCAGGCGCGGAUGACUCGCAUGCCUAAGUCGCACGAUUGUGGACUUAGCAUUUCUCUUGCUCGGGAGCUCCAGACCUCUUCCAGUGAUAGUUUACCCGCACAUUUCAACUCGCAGCAUCAGCAUUCAGGCGUUCAUCUUCAGGCCUGCGGGUUAACCAAGUCGCAAGACCAUCUCGCAGCAUCCAGAGCAGCUUAGAUCACUUCGCAUUCCGGAGAGUGUAACUCCUGUGAUACUUGUCCGAAUUGAAUGAUUUCGGUUGCAGAAGACAGAGGACUCAUUUAUCUCCAACUUUUGUGAAGGAAGUUUCAGUGCUUGGGAGGUGGAAGGCUUCCUGGAGGGCACAUCUUUGCAGUGCAUGUAUACGACCAGAGAGAGGCGUCUAGACAUGUGUCCAUUCCGGAGGCCGUAUCUUCCUGCUCAUAGAUCCGAAUUGAAUGCUCUUGGACGUUCUGGAAAGAAGACUCAAAUGUCUCUGAUUCUCAUGAAGGACCCGGAAGCUGAAUCGGCCUGGAAGUGCACCGUCCUUCGCAUCCUUCAGAACUGAUCUGCUCGGUCCGGAAUACCUGCGAGACAGGGGUUUCUUCCGACGAGCUUAUCUCUCUGCUCACGCGUCCGAAUUCUACGAUUCCAAUUGCUAUGAGACCGUGCUUCAAUGCUCUCCAACUUCUAUGAAGGACCCGCCAUCUGAAUCGGACCGGAAGGCUCCCCGGACAGGUGAUUUCUGAGACUCGUUCGCACCCGGAGAUUUUGGCCGAUAUACUUAAUUCGCGGUACGUGAAAAUGGCCGGUAAAGCUUCCCGCGGUACAUGAAAAUGGCCGGUAAAACCUUCCUGGCCAGCGAGAAUGGCCGAUAACCUCCAUAGACUCAAGUUUUCCACUUUUUCAAGCUCUGCUCACCAUUCCACCUCCUGGAUUCAUCUUUUCAGCUCCAUAAUCACCUGAUAGACACUCAAAACAUGCAAAGACUCAUUGGGACCUAAUGCAUCUCCUAAGUUCUGAAACAAACCCUAAGGACCUAAAAUACAUGAAAUAAAACAUGAUUUGGAAUGAUUUAUGCAACUUAAAUGAUGCAAAUUAUGAACAUAUCAGUCGCCCUCUCUCUCUGAAAGAUAGAGGUGUGAGAAGAGAGAGAUAACUCCUUCACGAUGUCAACAUUACACUUAUUGGUUUAAUUUUGUUGUUUUCCAUUAUAAUGCAAAUGACAUUGUUAUAUAGCCAAAUUUGG
rnacentral:lncRNA from 1 species